rnacentral:rRNA from 1 species
UACGUAUGGGGCAAGCGUUAUCCGGAUUUACUGGGUGUAAAGGGAGCGCAGGCGGCCUGGCAAGCCUGAUGUGAAAUACCGGGGCCCAACCCCGGGGCUGCAUUGGGAACUGCCAGGCUGGAGUGCCGGAGAGGCAGGCGGAAUUCCUAGUGUAGCGGUGAAAUGCGUAGAUAUUAGGAGGAACACCAGUGGCGAAGGCGGCCUGCUGGACGGUGACUGACGCUAAGGCUCGAAAGCGUGGGGAGCAAACAGG